UGUGUUUGUGUGUGUGUGUGUGUGUGUGUGUGUGUGUGUGUGUGUGUGUGUGUGUGUGUGUGUGUGUGUGUGUGUGUGUGUGUGUGUGUGUGUGUGUCUGGUUUUGAUGAUGGGUACUGAUGGUGUUUGUUGUUGUCUCAUGUGUUUCCAUAGUUACGGACCAGUAUAUGCUGCGGACCCCUACAACCACCCACUUGCUCCAGCAGCCACAUACAGCAUUGGUGCCAUGAAUCCGUUUGCCCCGUUGGCUGAUGCCAAGACGAGGAGUCAUGCUGACGACGUGGGGCUGGUGUUGUCCUCCCUGCAGGCUAGUAUAUACAGGGGAGGCUACAGCCGCUUCGCCCCAUACUAACCCACCAACCAACCUCCCUAAAACCAUACAACAACCAAUUACUACCCUACCAACCAACCAACCUCCCCACAACCAAACAACAUCCAAUCGUUUCUGACAGGGACACAACCGAGCAACCAACCAACCUCCCCACAACCAAACAACAUCCAAUCCUUUCUGACAGGGACACAAUCGAGCAACCAACCAACCGACCAACCAACAAACAAACCACACAACCAACAAACCAGUAUGUGAGUGAGACAGACAGAGAGAGAGAGAGACAGAGAGAGAGAAAGAGAAGUAACUUUGAGGCCUGGGUAUUGCAAUAUAUGCUGUUGAUCAUGAUUUUAGCAGCUCCUAAGGGAGAGGGAAGUCAGUCAACUAAAAAGAAGGAUAUUUAUACCUCAGAUAUUGUGUGCUGUUCAUUUUGAUACAGUGGGUUUUUCAUUUGUAAAGGUUAGUAGAUUGUCCGUGUUGGUAGAGCUAUAGAAGAGCUACUAGAUUUAAAACCUUACCAUUGUAAAACAACACAUUUCAACUGUUAGGGCUUCGUGAAAAGACAAACCAAUCCUGUAAAAUACAUCGUAGAAUGUGAUCCCGUUUUGUAAGAGUGUUGACAUGAUUGUAGGGUUCGGAUUCCUUUGACAUUCUCUCUGUUAGCGUCUACGUUGUUUCCUAGCUACUGGGGUUAGGAUUAGGAACGGGGUUAAAGUUAAGGACUGGGCAAGUGUUAGGGUUAGGAUUAUGGUUAAGGUUGGGAUUAGUUUAGGUUAGGUUAGGAUUUGAAUUAAAGUUAAAGACUGGGCAAGUGUUAGAGUUAGAAUCAGGUUAGGAUUAGGGUUAAGGUUGGGAUCAGGUUAGGAUUAGGGUUAAGGUUGGGGUUAGGUUAGGAUUGGGGUUAAAGUUAAGGACUGGGCAAGUGUUAUGGUUAGGAUUAGGUUAGGAUUAAGGUUAAGGUUGGGGUUAGGUUAGGUUAGGAUUGGGGUUAAAGUUAAGGACUGGGCAAGUGUUAGGGUUAAAAUCAGGUUAGGAUUAGGGUUAAGGUUGGGGUUAGGUUAGGUUAGGAUUGGGGUUAAAAUUAAGGACUGGGCAAGUGUUUAAUGUUAGGAUUAGGGUUAAUGUUGAGAUUAGGUUAGGAUUGUGGUUAAGGUUGAGGUUAGGUUAGGGCUGAAGCUCAGGGUUAGGAUUAAGUUUAGGGUUGGGGUUGGGGAGGUGGGGGUAAAAUGGGGUACUAGAAAGGCACGAAAGGUUGCAAGAUCGAGUCCCCCUGCAGACAAGGUAAAAAUCUGUCGUUCUACCCCUGAAGAAGGCAGUUAACCCACUGUUCCUAGGCCGUCAUUGUAAAUAAGAAUUUGUUCUUAACUGACUUGCCUAGUUAAUUAAAUAAAGUUAAAAUAGAAAUUAGACCAGGUGAUGGGAAAGAAGAAGAUGGAGAGGAGGUGGGGGUAAAAUGGGGUACUAUAAACCCACAACACAGUGCUGUGUCAUUAUUAGACCAGGUGAUGGGAUAGAGAGAGAUGGAGGGGAGGUGGGGGUAAAAUGGGGUACUAUAAACCCACAACACAGUGCUGUGUCAUUAUUAGACCAGGUGAUGGGAUAGAGAGAGAUGGAGGGGAGGUGGGGGUAAAAUGGGGUACUAUAAACCUACAACACAGUGCUGUGUCAUUAUUAGACCAGGUGAUGGGAUAGAGAGAGAUGGAGGGGACGUGGGGGUAAAAUGGGGUACUAUAAACCCACAACACAGUGCUGUGUCAUUAUUAGACCAGGUGAUGGGAUAGAGAGAGAUGGAGGGGAGGUGGGGGUAAAAUGGGGUACUAUAAACCCACAACACAGUGCUGUGUCAUUAUUAGACCAGGUGAUGGGAAAGAGAGAGAUGGUGGGGGUAAAAUGGGGUACUAUAAACCCACAACACAGUGCUGUGUCAUUAUUAGACCAGGUGAUGGGAUAGAGAGAGAUGGAGGGGAGGUGGGGGUAAAAUGGGGUACUAUAUAGCUACAACACAGUGCUGUGUCAUUAUUAGACCAGGUGAUGGGAUAGAGAGAGAUGGAGAGGAGGUGGGGGUAAAAUGGGGUACUAUAUAGCUACAACACAGUGCUGUGUCAUUAUUAGACCAGGUGAUGGGAUAGAGAGAGAUGGAGGGGACGUGGGGGUAAAAUGGGGUACUAUAAACCCACAACACAGUGCUGUGUUAUUAUUAGACCAGGUGAUGGGAUAGAGAGAGAUGGUGGGGGUAAAAUGGGGUACUAUAUAGCUACAACACAGUGCUGUGUCAUUAUUAGACCAGGUGAUGGGAUAGAGAGAGAUGGUGGGGGUAAAAUGGGGUACUAUAUAGCUACAACACAGUGCUGUGUUAUUAUUAGACCAGGUGAUGGGAUAGAGAGACAUGGAGGGGAGUAGUUGUGUGUGGAUGGUGCGUGGUCGGCAGCGUGCUAAACAGCGAGGACGUUGAUGUGUGGAUUAGAUCAUGAUGGUCAUCGUUUAUCACUCAAAGCCAAAGGUUCAGAUGUUCCCGGGGUUUUCCAUCUGUCUGUGCAGUCAGAUUUUUACAGAGAAUAACUUCUUAUGGUUAUAGAGGACAGAGAGUCUGCUUCCCAAACGGACCCCUAUUCCCUAUAUAGGGCCCUAUAUAUGAUUCUGGUCAAAGUAGUGCACUAUAUAGGGAAUAGGGUGCCAUAGGGCCCUAUAUGCCUCUGGUCAAAGUAGUGCACUAUAUAGGGAAUAGGGUGCCAUAGGGCCCUAUAUGCCUCUGGUCAAAGUAGUGCACUAUAUAGGGAAUAGGGUGCCAUAGGGCCCUAUAUGCCUCUGGUCAAAGUAGUGCACUAUAUAGGGAAUAGGGUGCCAUAGGGCCCUAUAUGCCUCUGGUCAAAGUAGUGCACUAUAUAGGGAAUAGGGUGCCAUAGGGCCCUAUAUGCCUCUGGUCAAAGUAGUGCACUAUGUAGGGAAUAGGGUGCCAUAGGGCCCUGUUCAACAUAGUGCACUAUAUAGGGAAUAGGGUGCCAUAGGGCCCUAUAUGCCUCUGGUCAAAGUAGUGCACUAUAUAGGGAAUUGGGUGCCAUAGGGUCCUGUUCAAAGUAGUGCACUACGUUGAACAGGGCCCUAUGGCACCCAAUUCCCUAUAUAGUGCACUACUUUGACCAGAGGCAUAUAGGGCCCUAUAUAGGCAAUUAGGCUCGGGUCUAAAGUAGUGCACUAUGUAGGGAAUAGGGUGCCAUAGGGCCCUGUUCAACGUAGUGCACUAUAUAGGGAAUAGGGUGGCAUAGGGCCCUGUUCAAAGUAGUAAACUAUAUAUAUAGAUAUAGGAGGUUAUCCCAUAGUAAUAAUAAUGAUACUGGUACAGAUGUUGUUUUUAUAGAAAUUACAGUAUAUCCAUUGAUAUAGUUGCUGACUUUUAUAUUAUGGGAGAGAAUUUAAAAAAUAUAAAAAAAUGUCUAUAUUUA